GUUGGUGGAAAGAAUUUUGGUCAAGGAUGGACUCGCGGCCUAUCAGGUAGUUGGUGAGGUAAUGGCUCACCAAGCCUACGACGGGUAGCCGGCCUGAGAGGGUGACCGGCCACACUGGGACUGAGACACGGCCCAGACUCCUACGGGAGGCAGCAGUGGGGAAUAUUGCACAAUGGGCGAAAGCCUGAUGCAGCAACGCCGCGUGAGGGACGACGGCCUUCGGGUUGUAAACCUCUUUUAGCAGGGAAGAAGCGAAAGUGACGGUACCUGCAGAAAAAGCACCGGCUAACUACGUGCCAGCAGCCGCGGUAAUACGUAGGGUGCAAGCGUUGUCCGGAAUUAUUGGGCGUAAAGAGCUCGUAGGCGGUUUGUCGCGUCUGCUGUGAAAACCCGAGGCUCAACCUCGGGCCUGCAGUGGGUACGGGCAGACUAGAGUGCGGUAGGGGAGAUUGGAAUUCCUGGUGUAGCGGUGGAAUGCGCAGAUAUCAGGAGGAACACCGAUGGCGAAGGCAGAUCUCUGGGCCGUUACUGACGCUGAGGAGCGAAAGGGUGGGGAGCAAACAGGCUUAGAUACCCUGGUAGUCCACCCCGUAAACGUUGGGAACUAGAUGUGGGGACCAUUCCACGGUCUCCGUGUCGCAGCUAACGCAUUAAGUUCCCCGCCUGGGGAGUACGGCCGCAAGGCUAAAACUCAGAGGAAUUGACGGGGGCCCGCACAAGCGGCGGAGCAUGCGGAUUAAUUCGAUGCAACGCGAAGAACCUUACCAAGGCUUGACAUAUACCGGAAACGGCCAGAGAUGGUCGCCCCGCAAGGUCGGUAUACAGGUGGUGCAUGGUUGUCGUCAGCUCGUGUCGUGAGAUGUUGGGUUA
rnacentral:rRNA from 1 species